rnacentral:rRNA from 1 species
ACUCCUACGGGAGGCAGCAGUGGGGAAUAUUGGACAAUGGGCGAAAGCCUGAUCCAGCCAUGCCGCGUGUGUGAAGAAGGUCUUCGGAUUGUAAAGCACUUUAAGUUGGGAGGAAGGGCAUUAACCUAAUACGUUAGUGUUUGACGUUACCGACAGAAUAAGCACCGGCUAACUUCGUGCCAGCAGCCGCGGUAAUACGAAGGGUGCAAGCGUUAAUCGGAAUUACUGGGCGUAAAGCGCGCGUAGGUGGUUCGUUAAGUUGGAUGUGAAAGCCCGG